rnacentral:rRNA from 1 species
AGAGUUUGAUCCUGGCUCAGAACGAACGCUGGCGGCAUGCCUAACACAUGCAAGUCGAACGAAGCCUUCGGGCUUAGUGGCGCACGGGUGCGUAACGCGUGGGAAUCUGCCCUUGGGUUCGGAAUAACAGUUAGAAAUGACUGCUAAUACCGGAUGAUGUCUUCGGACCAAAGAUUUAUCGCCCAAGGAUGAGCCCGCGUAGGAUUAGGUAGUUGGUGGGGUAAUGGCCCACCAAGCCGACGAUCCUUAGCUGGUCUGAGAGGAUGAUCAGCCACACUGGGACUGAGACACGGCCCAGACUCCUACGGGAGGCAGCAGUGGGGAAUAUUGGACAAUGGGCGAAAGCCUGAUCCAGCAAUGCCGCGUGAGUGAUGAAGGCCUUAGGGUUGUAAAGCUCUUUUACCCGGGAUGAUAAUGACAGUACCGGGAGAAUAAGCUCCGGCUAACUCCGUGCCAGCAGCCGCGGUAAUACGGAGGGAGCUAGCGUUGUUCGGAAUCACUGGGCGUAAAGGGCGCGUAGGCGGCUUUGUAAGUCGGGGGUGAAAGCCUGUGGCUCAACCACAGAAUUGCCUUCGAUACUGCAUGGCUUGAGACCGGAAGAGGUAAGUGGAACUGCGAGUGUAGAGGUGAAAUUCGUAGAUAUUCGCAAGAACACCAGUGGCGAAGGCGGCUUACUGGUCCGGUUCUGACGCUGAGGCGCGAAAGCGUGGGGAGCAAACAGGAUUAGAUACCCUAGUAGUCC